rnacentral:sRNA from 1 species
UCUGACUUUGAGCCAGGACUUGAAGCAGACACUAUGGCUCAUGCAGAAAAGAAACUUCUUCCCACAAGACUGCCAGCGAAAUUUUGCAGACUCAAGAUGUUCGGAAAGUUUGGACAAUCAUCACAGUUUUUGGACGCCUAUCUGAGACCAUCUUCUGUGAAGUUUAUUCAGCUCAUAAGUGUGAAUAAAAAAUUGCUAAAUGUGAAUUCAAAGAGACAGUGCAGUUUUACAUCUGAGUCCACUGAAUGCAUCACAGAAGCAGCAUAUGCAGCAACAGGAGUCUAAUAGCGUCAACCACCAGGAAACAAGGAUCACGGAGCAUGUGAGAAAAUGGUAAUUGAGAAGUCUGAUCAAGGAACACACUAAAAUUGGAGGCAUGAAACACUUGCAAAAUUGUCCCAGUGGUCCAUCUGGGGAUCCUGGGAACAAGUGUCUUUCAAGCCAUGACCAGUCUUUCUACUUCUUCCUCAUACUUUGUAUCUGGCUUGCGUACAUGUCACAGAAUCAGGUACUAAAACAAGAGGUGAUACAGAAAUAAGCUAUCCCAAAUAUAGCAUUAAGUGAAACAAACACAUCGUAUACUAGUUAUUAUAUCCGGAAGUUUGCUAAAGCUGCCAUAACAAAAUAUUAUAGAGUGGUGGCUUAAACAACAGAA